UCUGAUUCUCCCUGUACAUAUAGGCUUGAGGUACUGAAAACAAAGUGCUUGAGACAAGGCUGCCUGCCACCAUAUUAGAAUUCCCAGAGUGAAACGUAGUAUGGCCCACUGCCAAAAUGACUGUGUCUAACACACAGAGACCAGUGACAAAUUAAAACUACAAUGGGCUACAGCCAAUCCCGAGGCGGCGCUAAUAGAUCUUGCGUUACAAGAGAUAAAUACAGGCUACUGAUGGUAUGUGCUGAAAGAACAGAUGAACAAAGUAGUGAAAGUGAAGAGACUCUAGUUUUGCUCUCCCUUCCUUCCUACUCUCUCUCUCUUCCAACUGCCCUUUCCCCUACUAUCUCACCCUCUCCAUCGUUCCGCUCUACGCUCGCCCUCGCUACUCUGUGGGAGGCAGAGGGAGUAAUCCAAGCUUUCAGGGUUAACAUUAGUAGCAGCUCACCUUCUGAAACCAGGCUGCCCAAAAAAAACAACAAAAAAAAUAGUUGCCACCCAAUCUAAUCCUCUCGCUCCCUGGGCCCAUAUCCACAACGCAUCUGAGAGUAGGAGUGCUGAUCUAGGAUCUGUCCAUUUCUAAUCUUAUUAUUAUUGUUGUAUCUAUAUGCCAAAACUGAUCCUAGAUCAGCGCUCCUACGAGGUAAUCCUGAGAUCGCUCUCUCUCUCGGAAACAAGGAUGAUGACAGGCCACUGAGUAGGUUAUAUUAAAAAUACAUCAUCAAGUCUGUUACACUACAGGAUGAGUGCUCAUCUCCUAUGGCACCCUAUUCCCUACAUUGUACAAUAUUUUUUUUGUACCAGGGCCCAUAGAGUUCUUGGGGGGGUGCACUAUAAAUGGAUUAGGGCCCAUAGGGUUCUAGUCAGUAGUGGAUUACUAUAUAGGGAACCAUUUGGCACGCAACCGUAGUUUCAGAGCUUCUCUGUUGCUAUGGCUUCAACUAAUCACCCCCAGAGUUAACUAACGUGCUGUGAUACAGCUGGUGGGAGGGGCUGAGACAGUGGGUUCACUGGGGGUGAGGGAGGGAGGAUAGGGCUGAAACAGUGGGUUCACUAGGGGUGAGGAUAGGGCUGAGACAGUGGGUUCACUAGGGGUGAGGAUAGGGCUGAGACAGUGGGUUCACUAGGGGUGAGGAUAGGGCUGAGACAGUGGGUUCACUAGGGGUGAGGAUAGGGCUGAGACAGUGGGUUCACUGGGGGUGAGGAUAGGGCUGAGACAGUGGGUUCACUGGGGGUGAGGAUAGGGCUGAGACAGUGGGUUCACUGGGGGUGAGGAUAGGGCUGAGACAGUGGGUUCACUAGGGGUGAGGGAGGGAGGAUAGGGCUGAGACAGUGGGUUCACUAGGGGUGAGGGAGGGAGGAUAGGGCUGAGACAGUGGGUUCACUGGGGGUGAGGAUAGGGCUGAGACAGUGGGUUCCCUGGGGGUGAGGAUAGGGCUGAGACAGUGGGUUCACUAGGGGUGAGGGAGGGAGGAUAGGGCUGAGACAGUGGGUUCACUGGGGGUGAGGAUAGGGCUGAGACAGUGGGUUCCCUGGGGGUGAGGGGAGGAGCUGAGACGGUGGGUUCCCUGGGGGUGAGGGGUGGAGCUGAGACGGUGGGUUCCCUGGGGGAGGGAGGGAGUGGCUGAGACAGUGGGUUCCCUGGGGGGGG
ensembl:lncRNA